rnacentral:pre_miRNA from 1 species
AGGCUCCUGUUGGAGAAGCAGGGUACGUGCAGAGAUUAACACCGGUCGAGCUAGCUAGCUAGCUAGCUAUCGAAGCAAGCUUUUGAUCGACCAUGGUGAAUUGCAUGCACGUGCUCCCCUUCUCCACCAUGGCCUU